GACGGGGGGGGGGCAAGUGUUCUUCGGAAUGACUGGGCGUAAAGGGCACGUAGGCGGUGAAUCGGGUUGAAAGUGAAAGUCGCCAAAAAGUGGCGGAAUGCUCUCGAAACCAAAUUCACUUGAGUGAGACAGAGGAGAGUGGAAUUUCGUGUGUAGGGGUGAAAUCCGUAGAUCUACGAAGGAACGCCAAAAGCGAAGGCAGCUCUCUGGGUCCCUACCGACGCUGGGGUGCGAAAGCAUGGGGGA
rnacentral:rRNA from 1 species